AAGGAGCUCACAGUCUAUUGAG
rnacentral:miRNA from 21 species